rnacentral:rRNA from 1 species
ACCCCAGUGAAAUAUGCCCUAACAAAAGUAAACGGAGCAGGUAUCAGGCACGACACUCAGCCCAAAACACCAGGCCAUGCCACACCCACACGGGCCCUCAGCAGUGAUAAACAUUAAGCAAUAAGCAAACUCCACAAGCUUGACUUAGUUAUGAUUAAUUAGGGCCGGUAAACCUCGUGCCAGCCACCGCGGUUACACGAAGGGCCCAAAACAGCAGACCACGGCGUAAAUCGUGAUUAGAAUAUACCCCACCUUAAAAACUGAACAAUAUCCUAACUGUAAAACACAGGAUAAAUGAAACCAUUAAACUUUUAACAACAAGGUUUUUUGACUCACGAAAACUAAGAAACAAACUAGGAUUAGAUACCCUACUAUGCUUAGUCGUUAAUAUGGUAUUUAAACACAUAAAAUACCCGCCAGAAGACUACGAGCGAAAAGCUUAAAACUCAAAGGACUUGGCGGUGCUCCACACCCGACUUAGAGGAGCCUGUCCUAUAAUCGAUACUCCACGUUAGACCUUUCCACUCAUUGCCCAAAAUCAGCCUAUAUACCGCCGUCGCCAACCUACCCCAUGAGGGUUCAAUAGUAGGUUCAAUAGUUAUAAACUAAAACGUCAGGUCAAGGUGUAGCUAAUAGAGUGGUAGAGAUGGGCUACAUUUUUUAAAAUAAAAAAUACGGCACGAAACCAUGAAACAGGUUUCCAAAGGAGGAUUUAAUAGUAAAAUUAUAAAGAAAACUAAUUUUAAACACG